rnacentral:SRP_RNA from 1 species
ACAGGGUGCAGUACCAUGUGCCCAUAGUCCCAGCUACUCCUACUCAGGAGGCUGAGGUGGGAGGAUUGCUUGAGCCGAGGAGUUCUGGGCUGUUGUGUGCUAUGCCAAUCGGGUGUUCGCUCUAAGUUCGGCAUCAAUAUGGUGACCUCCUGGGAACGGGGGAGUACCAGGUUGCCUAAGGAGGAGUGAAUCGGCCCAGGUAGGAAAUGGAGCAGGUCAAUAGUGGGAUCAUGCCUGUGAAUAGCCACUGCACUCCAGCCUGUGCAAUAUUGCAAGACCCCAUCUCU